GUUCGGAGUGUUUAUUAAAACAUGUCUGUCUGGUGGUUCAGAGUGUUUAUUAAAACAUGGAGGUCUGGUGGUUGAACAGAGACGUGGGGCUGUUCCAGACCGCAGGAUCAACCAGUUAGCCGACUAACAAACGCUCUAAAUAAUGUCAGAGACUUGACACUGGCAUCAUGGCAAUAACGUCAAGGUAUACCUGGCAUCAUGGCAAUAACGUCAAGGUAUAACUGGCAUCAUGGCAAUAACGUUAAGGUAUACCUGGCAUUGGGGCAAUAACGUCAAGGAUAACCUAGCAUCAUGGCAAUAACGUCAAGGAUAACCUAGCAUCAUGGCAAUAACGUCAAGGAUAACCUAGCAUCAUGGCAAUAACGUCAAGGUAUAACUGGCAUCAUGGCAAUAACGUCAAGGUAUAACUGGCAUCAUGGCAAUAACGUCAAGGUAUAACUGGCAUCAUGGCAAUAACGUCAAGGUAUAACUGGCAUCAUGGCAAUAACGUCAAGGUAUACCUGGCAUCAUUGUAUUGUAACUGACUUGACAACCAUAUUCAAGUUCAGCUUUAUAAAUAUAUCAGUAAAUCAAGAACUAUAUUUUACCCCUAAUAAGAGUUAUCUGGCUUAACUUACUGAUCCUGCUUUUGCAACAGCUCAGUGUUCUGAUGUUCAACUCUACUGCAAAAACAUUCUCCUCUGUAAACAAUACAAAACAUAAUUCAUUCUUAAUUCUAAAUAAAAACCUUUAAAACCAAGCAUGUCCUUCAUAAGGCACAGUUCUCAAAGGAUUUAGUAACAGUGUGUUCCUCAGCAACACCUCGCUAGGUCCUUUAGUAACAGUGUGUUCCUCAGCAACACCUCGCUAGGUCCUUUAGUAACAGUGUGUUCCUCAGCAACACCUCGCUAGGUCCUUUAGUAACAGUGUGUUCCUUAGCAACACCUCGCUAGGUCCUUUAGUAACAGUGUGUUCCUCAGUAGCACCUCGCUAGGUCCUUUAGUAACAGUGUGUUCCUCAGCAGCACGUCGCUAGGUCCUUUAGUAACAGUGUGUUCCUUAGCAACACCUCGCUAGGUCCUUUAGUAACAGUGUGUUCCUCAGCAGCACCUCGCUAGGUCCUUUAGUAACAGUGUGUUCCUCAGCAACACCUCGCUAGGCCCUUUCUUAAAUGGAAGAAAUUUGGAACAACAAACACUCUUCCUAGAGCUGGCUGGCCAGACAAACUGAGCAAUCGGGGGAGGAGGGUCUUGGUCAGCGAGGUUACCAAGAACCCGAUGGUCACUGACAGAGCUCGUCUGUGGAAAUGGAAUAAUCUUCCAGAAGGAUAAACAUCUCUGCAGCAGUCCACCAAUUAGGCCUUUAUGGUAGACUGGCCAGACGGAAGCCACUCCUCAGUAAAAUGCACAUGACAGCCCGCUUAGAGUUUGCCAAAAGGCACCUAAAGACUCUCAGACCAAGAGAAACAAGAUUCUCAGGUCUGAUGAAACCAAGAUUGAACUGUUUGGCCUGAAUGCAAAGCAUCAUGUCUGGAGAAAACCUGGCACCAUCCCUAUGGUGAAGCGUGGUGGUGGGAGCAUCAUGCUGUGGGGAUGUUUUUCAGGACUAAUCAGGAUCAAGGCAAAGAUGAACGGAGCAAAGUACAGAGAUCCUUGAUGAAAACCUGCUCCAGAGUGCUCAGGACCUCAGACUGGGGCAAAGGCUCACCAUCCAACAGGACAAUGACCCUAAGCACACAUCCAAGACAACGCAGGAGUGGCUUCGGGACAAGUCUUUGAAUGUCAUUGAGUGGUCCAGCCAGAGCCCAGACUUGAACCCAACAUCUCUUGAGAGACCUGAAAAUAGGUGUGCAUCAACGCUCCCCAUCCAACCUGACCGAGCUUGAGAGGAUCUGCAAAGCA
ensembl:lncRNA